rnacentral:rRNA from 1 species
UACAGAGGCCUCAAGCGUUAUCCGGAAUUAUUGGGCGUAAAGCGUGUCCAGGUGGUCGUAUUAGUCUCCUGUUAAAUCCUCGGGCUUAACCCGAGAGCUGCGGGGGAAACGGUACGACUAGAGAGUGCGAGAGGAGAGCGGAACUCAUAGUGUAGGGGUGAAAUCCGUUGAUAUUAUGGGGAACACCAAAGGCGAAGGCAGCUCUCUGGCGCAUUUCUGACACUCACACACGAAAGCGUGGGUAGCGAAUGGG